AUACAUCAACUAGUACGUCGAAAUACAUCGAAAACUAUCAAUUUACAUAUAAUUCAUUUACAUGUUUGAGAAUAAAUUGAAGGCCGCAAUAUAUGGUUUAUGAUAUUUUACUCUUUUCGUUUUGUACCGUUAUGACACCCACGAGGCGAAGGAAGGACACGUGUUGGGGGUCUUUGAUCUCAGGAGCCCAUAGUGAGGGCUUCUCGUAGAGAGGGUGCUGAGGGAACAUUGAAAGGACUAUAUCGAAACUACUAAGGAAUGCCCAGAAAUAGCAACACUCCAGUGAUGGCAAGCAGAGUCCAGCAAGACUACAGCAAUGUUUAUUUUUCUAGUUCCAGGAAUUGCAACAUGACGUGCAUAGAGUCGUUUAGGUAGAAGUCUUUUGUCUCUAUAAUUCAGAUUUUGAUCAUUUUUAAAAAAGUAUAUAUAUAUUACAAAAUUUGUAAGAUUUCUUGAUGCUUAUUUUUAAUUAGUCUAUUUGUUCUACAAGACUUUUAAAGUUAUGGUUACAAUUCGUUUUAUUACACGUGUAUAAACUAAUUUCCUAAUUUUAAUUAAAUCGAACUCGGUCAUUAUAAAGGCCUAAAGUGAAUUAAGCGGUUUAAACUUGUAAU